CUACUCCCGUGGAUUCGGUUGGUCAGGCAGUCCACGCCGAACCCCAACGCUCCACUGGUGUCUGCUCUUGCUAAUCGGUGGAGGCCGGAGAUGCACAGUUUCCAUCUUCGAACUGGGGAGAUGACCGUGACGCUCGAGGAUGUCCCCUUGAUCAUCGGUCUUGCUAUCGACGGGAGUGUAGGAUCAAAAGUAUGUCUAGAGGGGGUGAUUAGACUACUUGACCAAAUAAAAUCUAGCCUUUUCCCAAUUUUAAGUCUUGGUAGAUUUUAG
rnacentral:rRNA from 1 species